rnacentral:snRNA from 1 species
AGAUAUGGCGGCAAUGUGGCUUAGACAUUGUAAUUCCAUUGAUACCAGGGUUGAUUUGGUUGGUGUGACUGGUUAGAUGCAUGUCCCCUUCCUCCCUCACUAUUCCUUGUGUAUUCCUUUCAAAGCCACAUGUUUGGUGGAAGAAGACAACCAUUCCACAUAGGAGUGUACUGAUCUUCAGUCAAUUGUGUAUGAUAGCUGUGCUCCACGACUAGAGCCUCCAAAGAAACUCAAAGUCCAUUUGUUUUUCUAAUUAUUUUCUCUAGAAAAAUCUCUUUAAUACAUCUUCUAU